UGCAGGUGGUUCCUCCCCUCAGAGUGACGGAGCUGGUGGAGGUGAACUCAGAGGAUUCUUCCACCAUGAGCUCGCCAUCAAAAAACAGAGCCAGUCGUCUCAGGUGGAAGAGCCUGAGUCAUCAAAGAACGGCACUGGUGGUCAAAGACAUCCUCUGUCUGCCCGGAGGACACAAGCUGCCUCAGCUGGAGAGGCGAGAUGGUUACUGUGCUCAGAUCGUCUUCUAACGACUCGAUGCAUCAGUUUAACAGCACACUGUUCCUCGAGCCAAAGAACGAGCCACUCUCGCCGCUCUGGGAAUGACCGCUCGCAUCACCAUCGAUUGUCGCUGGUCAGCCAAUCAGAUGGAGCGUCGGCUGGCGGCGCUCUUCCAGGAUCAGUCUGUGGAACGGGCCGGACAAACAUUCUCCUUCACUUAUCUACAGUGUGUGCCGGGUUCCCGGGUUCUGUUUGUCCCCGACACUCCUGCAGAGGGCUGGACAGGAGAACAAGUCCUCAGGACCUCCGGACACGGUGCUCUGUACGUCCUCCGCUACCAGGAGCAGCCACAGGUACAACCUCUCCUCUCCUGUCCUCUCCUCUCUGCUCUGUGUAAACAGCCUCUCCUGUCCUCUCCUCUGCUCUGUGUAAACAUCCUGUCCUCUCCUCUCUGCUCUGUGAAAACGGCCCCUCCUGUCCUCUCCCCUCUGCUCUGUGUAAACAGCCUCUUCUGUCCACUCCUCUCUGCUCUGUGUAAACAGAUUUUCAGUGAAUAUUUGUCACAUGACCGUUGGUCUCAGCAGUGUUGGGAUCGUACCACAGGUGAAUCUUGGGUUCAUUUGUGGACUUUAACAUUUGUGGACUAAUUGAAACAUUUUUCUUAGUCAACUCACAAAAUGGCAGGUCAGCGCCAUUUUGUGUCCUCUCAAGAACUUCUCUCCCAGAAUGCCCGGCAUUUACAAUACCUUCCAGGUCACCUCAUUGGCCAAGGCACCUUGACACUACAGGAGGUCCACUGGUCUGUUAAAAGGGAGACAGUCCUCCCUCCCUUCUCUCUUUUUUUCUCCACCGCUCCCCAGAGGAGUAACACCUCUUCUUCAGGAGGGAAUCCAGAGGCCUGGAUUCCCCAGCCCCCCACCCCCAUCAUCUCCUGCAGAACCCUGCAGUGAUGAGGCCUGCUCCUCAGAAAAUCUCCUUUCCAGGAGUCAUUCUGGUACAACUGCAACUCUGACCUUCUCUGCCCACCAAAGUUGCAUUAAUGAACAGAAAGUUCAUUGCAACUGCCAGAGAAGGCUUUACCUCAACAGCAAGGACAACCACCAUCCUAAUUUGCAAGACGGCAAAUUAUUGAACUCAACUUGCUUCUUUCCACGCCCGCCACUGGGAAAGGAUUUCCCCCCUUUUCAACUGGAUUUGUGAGUAAUGUAAUUGGGCUUGGAUAAGCAAUCAGCAAGGACUUUAGUAUGAAGGAUUUGACCUGUAAUUAAUGAUCUGGUUUGUAUGUGUGUUUUAAGUAUAUUUGUGUGAUAUUUGUGUCACAAUCAAAGUUGUAUGUUAAUCUUCUUUUAUUUGCUUUACUUGUUUUAGAAUAAAUACCUUUUGAUUACAAA